AACCCGACUCCAUGAAGCUGGAUUCGCUAGUAAUCGCGCAUCAGCCACGGCGCGGUGAAUACGUUCCCGGGCCUUGUACACACCGCCCGUCAAGCCAUGGAAGCCGGGAGUGCCUGAAGUGCGUGAGCGCAAGCAGCGCCCUAAGGUAAAACCGGUGACUGGGGNUAAGUCGUAACAAGGUAUC
rnacentral:rRNA from 1 species